CACGAUAACGGCAAACCUGUCGAAAGGCAGGGACGCAAAGCUAAAGGGCCUUCUCUAUUAUUAGAUGGCAGCCUAGCCACCGAAG
rfam:Paenibacillus sp. Leaf72 contig_9, whole genome shotgun sequence.